UUUUUCCUUUUUCUUUUUUUUUUUUUAUUUUUUAAUUAAUUUUUAUUUAUUCCUCCCCGUGUUAGCGGUCCCGUUGGUGACGGAAGGAGGCGGCGAUGCCCCGCGGCAGCGGUCCUGGGGGACGGAACCGUCCUCGCAGGGCGCCCCUGCCCGCACCCCGCCUCUGCGGCUGCCCUUCGGCUGCGUCUACCUGAUUGUCAAUUUUCUUUCAAAGUUUAUUUUUAUGAAAAACAAGAGGAAAAGCUCGAGCUUCCAAAGAUGUCUAAAAAAUUGAUUUAUGGAUUUGAUCUGAAACAAGAUGGCCUAGCGCCCUGCUUCGUAGAUCAUCUCCUCCAAGCGGCUGUGCUUCCAGCCAAGGGUGGCUUCACCCAGCCAAGCCAGCUGCCUCCAAGCCAUCUCGGCGCUCGGGGCCAGCCAGAAAUAAAUACUUUUAAAAUAA